GGCACCUUAGUGGAGACAGUCCGCGGGGCCGAGCGCCGGGGUUCCCGGGCUGCCCCCGCCACCGCCCUCCCCACCGGCUGACAUUUGCCAUGCGCAGACAAUACGCACUUCACCAAACAAUUCAGCCCAAGCCCCGCUGCAAACUCGCUGGGUUAUUUUUCUCCUCGUUCUUCGCUUGUUUAUGGCUGACGCUAUCUCGCCUGCACCGCUCCCUCGGUUUCAUUAUCUCUUCUCGCAGAUGGACCGUGGCUUUCCUUCUUCACAGGGUUUCUCUCUGCUGGUGCUCUAGCUCCCUCUCCUCUCCCCAGCUCUGCAUCCCUCACCCUUGCUCACAGGUGAGCCUUCCCCAGCGAAGCACUUCACUCCAGCCGUCCUUCCUCCUGCAGUCCCUUCUCUGAAGACCACAGCAUCCCGUAAAAUAAAGCCAAUGGCGCUCAUGCAAUAAUAGUAAUAUGGUGGCCAGUGGGACCAGGGCAGUGACCAUCCCCUGUUCUGGGGCAAUUCCAAUCCCGGGGAUUAAAGAAGUGCAACAGUUUCCAAGGAUUCAAAUGCAAGGACAGGUGUAACAGCCAGCGUGUCCCUCCAAGGCAGCACCUGAGUCAUGUCAUGUCUGUGACAUUCUUUAAGGAAGAUGCUUCCUCUGGAUCACUUUCUUAGUGACCACAAUGAGCCAUCCUGGUAGAGCUGGGAGCCACCAUGCAGUCUGGAUCCUGAGUCCUGGGUUCAUUCUGGACUUGGUUGUUGCUGGUUCCCUGUGGAGAACUCUGACCACCCUUCCGAGAGACUCUGUGACUGAUUUCUUUUCUCAGAGACUGAGUUAGAGGAAAUAUUUCACAGAGCAAUAGCUGGGCAAAUGCAAAUCCUCCUUGCAGAGUUCUUUUAACUUCAAGCCACUAAAUACACAUUUAGUCUAUGGAACUGUAUUUACUUCCCCUCUCAGAGGAACAAGCUUUGUCAGCUGUAAUGAUGAGCUGUUGUUUGACGUUCAUAAUAUUGUACUUCACCGCCUAUCUGAUGGAGCCACGCAGAGCUAUUUAGGGGCUUCUGAAAUGUGACAGCCCACAUGAUGCUUUUUUAGACUUCACAAACCGCCUUCACGAGGCGGGAGAAUACGGCAUGGGAACGGCUGGCUGGAACAACGGCGUGCCUUAAUGCCAGCGGGGUUGCUGGAGCUGGGGAGGAGGAAUGGUCUUUGAAAGAUUGCAGCUUUUGUUGCGUGCUGUCAAAGGAAGAACUUGCAGCCUGAAAGAACAGGCAUCGUGGAUGCCAUGGGUGGGGACUGUGGGGAUUAUUGAUCCUGCCUGGAAACAGCAUGAAGAUGGAGGCAAAUAUGUUAAAACCUGUUUGGACCAUCCACAAACAGAAGGGGGCUCAAGGGAGACAGCUCAGAUGCCUCAUUUCAUGCUGUCUUGCCUUAAUAAACAGAAAGAUCUCACUUUCUAACAAAUUUCUGUAUCUUCAUCCUUACUGACAUGCAGAGCAUUUAUUGCAAGCUUUGUUUUGAACCCUGGAAGCCUCCAGGUGAAAGAAGUCGUUUAGGAAAACCAAAACUCAACAAAUCUUCUGGCUUCUUUUCAGAGACUAACACGUAAACAUUGGCAAAUAUUGUGAAAGACUGUUACUCCUUCAUGGUUUUAAAGAUUAUAAAAUAUCACAA